UCCUAGUCGGAUUCGUUAACCACUGCGCCACGACAGGAACUCCACUACUGCUUUAGUCUUAACCUGACACCUAAUGUCCUCCUCAGUCAAACUCUAGGUGACUUUCCAGCCUAAUUUACAACUAGCUAGCGACAGACAACCCACUUUUUACCCAAACAGACUACUAGUUUCUCCUGUGGAAAUCAAAUCGUCCACCACUCCUCCAAGCCUUCACUCCACCACUGCCUUUCCUGGACCAUUCUGCACUCAUCUUCCCAUGUUGAAUUCUAUGCCUAAAUUUUAAAUGCUAGCUCAAAUUUCAAGUUUUCCUUUUUCUGAAAGUCUAUAAACUUGAUUUCAUAAAUCUUUUUGGCAUGUAUUACAAUACUUACUUGAUUUUGUUAUUUGUAUUCACACCCUAUAUGCCCUUACGUGACCUCAAAGAGUUUUAGACUCCUUGAAGGCAAAAGCAAUGCUCUAAACAACUUCCUAUCUUCUGUAGUAGCUGACAUAGUACCUUAUCUAUAGAAAGCAAGGGGGAGACGUUUGUUCCAUGGACAAAUCUGUUUCCCCAUGGUCUUGCCCUGAACGGUCCUGUCAAAAAGAAAAAAAAAAAAAAUUGUAUAGUCAGGUUUCUAUGUGUAUUCAUGUAAAGGAGAUCAAGAGAAAAGAAACGGUGGAACUGUGAAAAUGAGGGGCAAAUAAAAAUAACCAUAAUUUCUUAAUUAUUCAGUAAUAUCCAAGAAGGUAAACUGUGCAAGUCAUAGUCUUUCUUCACUCUUUGUAUUCAGUUCACUUUUUUUGCAGCUUAAUUUUGACGAAUUCACACAGGAGACAUUAACUCAUUAAAGUUUUCAGUAUCCCUGGAGGUCAGAAGGGCUGCUAUGUUCACUCUGUAGAUGGGGAAACUCAGAUCAUCAGUGACUUAAACAAGGACGCAUGGCAUAGAAAUGAGGCAUAAACCUCCAGGUACCGUUUAUAGGAUUUGGAUUCCCAGCUUGCAACUCUUCACCUUUUGUCUCUCUCCCCAAAGUUAAGAUCUUUUGGAGGGACAUAGGAAAAUCAUGUUUGUUUCCCACCAUCGUGAGUAUUAUAACAGCUCUUUCAAAGCCCCCUUGAUACAUUCAGUAGCAUCAACAUUCAAGAACAUUCAGUCUUCUUUGGUACUUGCUGAUUGAUAGCAUAAUGUACACACAGAGGUGCCCCUUUAACACAGAAAGCCCACAGCACUGUACUCAGCAGAUCCCACCAAAAACCCAUGGGGGCAGGUGGCAUGAAUAGCAAGGUACCACCAGGCUAAUGUUAAGUGCUCAGGAGGUGCACAUUUUCCUUUAAUCCCUUUUUGUUGGCUUCCUCAUUUUGCCUGUGGAGGAGUGGCUGUUGCAUCCGUGUUCUAUCCAUGUAAUGUUGAACCGUGAGCAUCACUUGGUUUUUGCCAAGCAGAACUUACAGCUGAUGACAAGCUGUUGCUGAGAAAAUGAAAAAUUUUCUGAAUUCAGUUCUGCGUGGAAACAGUUGACCAAUUGCCAUUGCUGUAAUACGGCUCUUUUGCUUUUGGUUGAUUUUGAGUAAUAGCUUCACUUCUGCAGAAAGGAGAUUUUAUUUGAAGUCCAUUCAGAGAUUUGGUUCAACAAACCAGACUACAGGUCUCAGAAAAUCUUUUUUGAACCUUCCAAUAAUAGACUUUCUCAUCUGUUAUUCCUGGAACACUUUAUCCUUCACAGCCGAGCAUAUGGAUGGCUUUGUUGUUCACUGUGUUCUGUUUGCCUUUAUGACCUACCUUUUCAGUACAAAUAGAAUAAAAUCUUUUUCAUGUUUGCAUUAAUUGCUUGAAUUCCCACUUUCCCUCAUCAGCAGGAAGUCCAGUAUCUUCUUGAGAACUUCCUUUUCUCAAUCCAGGAACUUACUUGGUCUGUAAGUUCUCGGUCUUAUUUCUAAAUAAUAACGGGGGAAACAAAUUAUAGCUGUUGUCAUCAGAUCCGUCUCCUUUUUCAAAACCAGUCCUAUGUAGACCUGUGGACCCUUGUCCACUGGAGAGUGGUACACUAGCCAGGCUAGGUUCCUGUGCAGGUGGCAGUCGUGCCCCAGGUUUAACUUAAAAGUUACAGCAGGCAUGAUAUCAAAAUAUUUGGUAAGGCACAAGUACUAAAUAAUCAAACUUGAAUGAUUGGUAGAGCGGUAGAGAAUAACAACUGGUUAUUAGUCCUGGGUAACCGUUCUUUUCAGUUCCCUGCACAUGCCAGCCCCUUUUCCCCCAAGAAACCCCCUCCAUGCUGAAGUGGCUGAACCUGGAGGAGCUGCCAGCCUGGACCACCUGCUAUAUCAGAACCAGCCCACCUCCAGAGCUGUGAAAGAGCUGAAUUACCAUUCUUGGCAACUUCUUUCUUCAAGGCAGAUCUGACAGCUCAUGUCCAAAUGGCACAUACACCCUUGGCGGUAUGCUGGGAUCUCUUCAUUCACCAUGUAGCAGUUCACCAAGUACCAUGUGCCGUGCUCUGUGUUAGGGGCUGGGGGAUGUGGAAAUGACUGAUACAGUCGUAGGUCUCAGCGUUGAAUAGAUGACCUCGUAGAAUGAGGGCCUUGAUAGAGAUGAAGCGUGGGAGCCACGAAGAUGCAUAGAAGGUGGUGGGACAAGGCUGUCCAGACAGGUUUCCAGGGAGGCAACCCUGGGCUAGAUUGUAAAGGGGGGGCUCAGGGCUGUGUUGAGGGAGAAGUGGGUAGAGGAUGUCCGCACUCAAGGUCAUAGCAAGAGCAGAGAGAGGGAGGGGGUGGUACCCAGGAAACUGCCCAGGGGCCAGUGAGGGAUUUGCAAGAUGGAAAGGCCAAAGAUGAAGACUGGGCCACAGUGAGAACACACAGGGCUCCAGAGUGAGGAAGUGGGAGUCCAGGAGGGAGGAGAGAGGAUCAAAAAUAGGAUUUCAAUCUUAGAGAACAUAAAGUUUUCAUGCUUAUAGGAACCAUCAAAGACCAGUCUCCUUCAGCCACCUCAAUUUACAAAGAAAUAAAGCCCAGAAAGCUUAGCUGGUUUGCUCAAGGGCACACAGAUAAACUAGGACUAAAGAUUAAUGUCCCAGCUUCUGUCUCCUGAGUGAAGAAAACUAAGACCCGGCAAAGGAGAGUGACUCGCUCCAGUCACCUAAUCUACUGGGUUCCUAGCCUGGUGCUCUUUCCUCCACCCCACAGGUCACCGCUGUAGACUGAAAGUGCCCUCCAGAAAAUCCGUAUGUUGAAAGCAAAUCCUCGGUGUGCUGGCACCUGGGGGUGGGGCCUUUGGGAGUGAUGAGGUCAGAGGGCACAGCCCUUGUUAGUGGGAUUGGUGCCCUUACGAGCAAGACCCUAGAGCACUCCCUCACCCCUUUCCGCCCCAGGAGGACCCAAUGAAAAGACAGUUUAUGAACCAGGGAAUGGAGCAGACACCAAAUCUACAGGCGCCUUGAUCUUAGACGUCUCAGCCUCCAGAACUGUGCGAAAUAAAUUUUCUGUUCUUAUAA